rnacentral:lncRNA from 1 species
UUUGCAUUUAUUACAACUUAGUAUGUUGACUUAUUUUUAUACUUGGCACUUGUUUUUAUGGAUUAUGAAAUGGUUUUGAUAGAAUCUAACAUCAAGUUUACCCAAAUUGUCCCUUCUCUUUAGGAAAUUCUGGCCCAUAAAUGCAUGCUUUAAAACAAAAAGGAGGGAAAUGAGAUGUCUCAGGAUGGACAAGGCUUGAAGUUUGUUCUCUGUGGUUGCUGCCAGGUUUCUGGGAAUCCAUGGAAAUGGGAGGUGAGGGGCAAAGAAAUGUCUAAAUGAUUGGAGAUGAAUCUUCAGUAGCACGAAUAAAGGCUAAAGAUGGAUUUAUCCAAGACAUUUGUGAUUUGGAUGGAAUGUUGGAACACAGACCAAUGCACCGUAACAAACAAGAUAGAUGAAAAUCUCAGAGGAUGACUGUUGACCUAAUCCAAACAAAAUAACUCCUGGUUCCAUUUGCUGUUGCCAAGUCUCAGUAGAGUGCUAAGAAUAAAUAUAGCACAAGUACGGAAAGGGGUCUGCUUGGCUUUCUGUUUAUGAUUGUUCAUGCAGACGAGUGGUAGAACUGUGAGCUGAUCUCCACCAACUGCCUGGAAGUCAGCAAGUCAUUGACGUCAAUGCUCAAAAUGAAGUAUGCUGUGAAAGCAGUAGUCCUUCACUAGGUAGAAGAAAAAAGUAAACAGUGUGACCUAAAAAAGAGAAUGAACCUGGAGGCAAUGAAUCAGGUCAUUAAGGCAAGAAUAAUGCAUCACUUCACUAUACCAACAGUCAUUAUCCAGUGAGACCACACUUUGGACCCUGGUAGAGGGGGAUUUCCUCAAAGGGUAUCAUAGGCGUAUUCGUAGGUGAUGUGAAAAGGCACUUAACAGUAUCACAUUCAUAUCAAAAGGAGCAAUGACUCAUGUACUCUCUGAGCCUUUGAGCUAGGUACAUUGUGUAAUUUAUAGAAGACCCGUUUCUCCAAAGUUGGGCCAACAGUUGGUCAUUUCAUUUCAUAUUCAAGCUAUGCAUUGAAUACAAUUUUUAAAAGAGGCAAAAAAUCUAUGUUUAAUAAUUGUCAGUGACUCUACAUUAGAUGCAACUAACCACCAAAUGGUGCCACAGCAAUAAUAUUGAGUAGCUCUUUUGCUCCUCACCAAUCAGUGAGGGGGUCACUACCAAUAGGGAGAGAGAACAGGAGUGAGAAGUGUAAGACCUAGAGAAUGGAAGGAGUGGGCAAAGCACCAUGGGAAUAAACAGUACUGAGAGUAUGACACCUGCAUUUCAGUAAUUUGGUCUUCUGCUGGCCACAAAUUCCCUAACUGGAAGAGGAAAGAUUUGCCAGCCAACUGAACUCUCCUCUCCCUCCCCGCACUCCAAUCCUGAAGCAUUUCACUUUCUUGGUUAGUACAAUGUUGACUAGAGUGAGAGAGAAGACAUCUUUGUCUGAUUUUAAAUGGAAAGACUUCAGUCUUUUAUAAAUAUUAGCUGUGCACUUUUUCUUGGUGUCCUUUAUCAGGUUGGGAAAGCGCACUUCUAUUCCUAAUUUUUUUAAGUAUGUUUAUCAUGAAAGGGUAUUGGAUUUUAUCAAAAGGUUUUGUUGCAUCUAUUCAAAUGAUCAUUUAGGAUUUUGUCCUUUAUUUUAUUAAUAUGACAUAUUACAUUAAUUGACUUUCAGAUGUAAAGACCAAAUUUGCAUUAAUCCCACUUGGUCAAUGUGUAUAAUUCUUUUCAUAUGUUAAUUGAAUUUGGUUUACUAGUAUUUUGUUGAGGACAUGCAUCCACAUUUUAAGAGAUACUGGCCCAUAGUUUUCCUUUCUUUUGAUACCUUUGGGUUUGGUAUCAGCAUAAAAGUGGUCUUAUAGAAUGAAUUAAGAAUUGCUCUCUUCUCGACAAACAUUAUAUGUUCUCAUUCAUUUGGGGAAUAUAAAUAAUAGUGAAAGGGAAUAUAAGGGAAGGGAGAAGAAAUGUGUGGGAAAUAUCAGAAAGGGAGAACGUAAAGACUGCUAACUCUGGGAAACGAACUAGGGGUGGUAGAAGGGGAGGAGGGUGGGGGGGUGGGAGUGAAUGGGUGACGGGCACUGGGGGUUAUUCUGUAUGUUAGUAAAUUGAACACCAAUAAAAAAAUAUAAAAAAUAUAAAAUGUCUCUUCUCUAGUAUUUUUUGGAAGAGUUUAUGAAGAAUUGGUAUUCAUUCUUUAUUUUUUUUUAUUUUUUUUAUUUUUUAUUUUUUUUUAUUUUUAUUUUUUUUUUUGGUAUUCAUUCUUUAAAUGUUUGGUAGCAUUCACCAAUAAAAUUGUCUAGGCCUGGACUUUUCUUUGUCCAUAGUUUUUUCAUUACUAAUUAAAUUUAUUUUCUUAUUAUAGGUCUAUUUAGAUUUUGUAUUUCUUAUUGAGUGAGUUUUGGUAGUUUGUGUUUUUAUAAGAACUUUUUCAUUUAAUCCAAGUUACCUAAUUUAUUGGCAUAUAAUUGUUCAUAUUAUUUCUUUUUAAUUCUUUUUUUUUUUUUAUUUCUGUAAGGUUGUAGUCAUGUCCCCACUUUCCUUCCUGAUUUUAAUAAGUUAAAUCCUCUUUUCUUCCUUGGCAAUCUAGCCUAAGUUUGGCAAAUAUUGUUGAUUUUUCAAAAAAGCAGUUUUGAUUUCAUUGAUUUUUCUGUAUUUUUUCUUAUUCUCCAUUUCAUUAACUUCUUCUAUAAUCUUUGUUACAGCAUCAAAAUGAGAAGGAAAGCAUAAGCUAUCUUUUUCAAAAUCCAGUCUUAUGAAUGAAAAUAAGCAAAAUCCCAAACUCAUGCUAUAGGAAGUUAAUUAUUGCUUUAAACUAUCCUUAGGGACAUCUGGGUGGCUCAACAGUUGAGUAUCUGCCUUCGGCUCAGGUCGUGAUUCUGGGGUUCGGGAUCGAGUCCCACAUGGGCUCCUGCAAAGAGCCUGCUUCUCCCUCUGCUUGUCUCUGCCUCUCUCUCUCUCUCUCUGUCUCUCUCUCUGUAUCUCUCAUGAAUAAAUAAAUAAAUCUUUAAAUAAAUAUAAACUAUCCUUAGACUCUCAAGUUCAAUUACCCACUGCAGAAGUUGUUUUAUGUGUACCUUUCUGUGGGGCUACAUCUCGAUAAACCCAGCAUAAACUGAAAAUAUCGUAAGUUGAAACUGCAUUUA